UAGGGAAUCUUCGGCAAUGGGGGGAACCCUGACCGAGCAACGCCGCGUGAGUGAAGAAGGUUUUCGGAUCGUAAAGCUCUGUUGUUAAGGAAGAACGAGUGUGAGAAUGGAAAGUUCAUACUGUGACGGUACUUAACCAGAAAGGGACGGCUAACUACGUGCCAGCAGCCGCGGUAAUACGUAGGUCCCGAGCGUUGUCCGGAUUUAUUGGGCGUAAAGCGCGCGUAGGCGGUUUUUUAAGUCUGAUGUGAAAGCCCACGGCUCAACCGUGGAGGGUCAUUGGAAACUGGAAAACUUGAGUGCAGAAGAGGAAAGUGGAAUUCCAUGUGUAGCGGUGAAAUGCGCAGAGAUAUGGAGGAACACCAGUGGCGAAGGCGACUUUCUGGUAUGUAACUGACGCUGAUGUGCGAAAGCGUGGGGAUCAAACAGG
rnacentral:rRNA from 1 species